UGUGCCAAAGAGCUCGGGGGGGACCCUGGCUCCUGCUUUUGUGCCCGCAGCUUGGGCAGGAGCAGGCAAAGCGGGGCCGUGGGCUGGUUGGAGCGGCACCCACACGGGGUUGUGGUGCAGCUCCGGCCAGCCCACGGCCCUACAGAGCCAAGCGCGUCCCAGCUGCCUCCCCGCAGCCCCUCCUCUGCCCCCCAGCUCUGGAAGCGAGGAGGGAGCCUGGCAUCUGUCUAGACAGCGGGAGGAGGCGCUGGGUUUUGGGCCCGGGCACGCAGAGGAGGGCGGGGAGAGGCAGUUCCCAGCCCUUCCCUGCCCACCGGGUCCCCCCGGGUGCUUACCCACGGCCGUCUCCCCUGGGCCCUCUUUUUUCAGGGCUAGAACCUUUCUACAGUCGAGCAACUUGGGUUUUUUAUUUAAGACGAGGUUUUUUAGGAGACUUUUGUAGCUCUUUUCAUAUUUACACUUAUUGCUGAUGGUUUGUAAAUCUAUUUAUUUUUUAACCCGUGUUUUUUUCAUAUUUUGAGAGGUCUGUUUUUUAUAUCCCGCUGGAUUUGUCACAAUAAAGACUUGCACAGAGAAACGCCGGCAUCUCGGCCCCGCUCUCCCCCUGCCCCAAAUCCACAAAGUGCCCCCUGGGCGGGGGGAGACUCGAGGGGAGUGGGUGCUGGGGCAGGGGUGAGGCAGCCCUGCCCCGUGAGCUGCAGGGGUGCGUUUUGGGGGGGGCAGAUGCUGAUGGGCUGGGCUGAUUGAGCCAAAGCCCCCCCAGCAGCACGAGCACGGCUGCAGAGCCACGUCUGCCCCCACGGGCACGGGCCCUGCAGCUGGGCUCCCCUGGGUGCUCCUCACCUCAGAGGGGCACUGGGUUCGUGUCCUGGCUCUCCCCCGGUGUCACCGAGGGGGGACAGGGGACCUGGGACAGGCCUGUGGUGGCAGCAGGUCCGUGUCCUUGUGUCUUGGGCACGUUGGUGGUGCUGGCAGCGGGUCGGUGCCCUCACACCUUGCGGGGCACGUUGGUGAUGAUGGGUUUGGGGCGCGUUUUGAAGAGCAGCUUGGUCUUGAUGAGGGCGGUGACGGCGUAGCGGGCGUGCGGCUCCGCGGGGCCGGCCGCCUCCUUCACCAGCACAGCAAACGGCUUCUCCAGCGGCACCACCUUCCCGUACAGCACGUGGUGGCCCACCACCAGCACCGGGACGCCCUGCGGGGGGGUACAAACGGGAGCUGAGGGCUGUGAGCGGCCUGGUGGCGGGGUGUCCCCGUGGCAGGGGGUCAGGGGGGGGUCUCCGUGCCUGGCGGGUGUAGUGCAGGUCUCCCAGCAGGCUCCCGGGCAGCGCGCCGCCGCUCCGCGCCUCCACCUCGCCCUGCAGCUCCAGCAGCACCCAGCGGGGCAGGCUGCCCCCGCUACCGGGAGAUGGGGGGGGG
rnacentral:lncRNA from 1 species